rnacentral:rRNA from 1 species
UACAGAGGGUGCGAGCGUUAAUCGGAAUUACUGGGCGUAAAGCGAACGUAGGUGGUUUUGCAAGUCGAGUGUGAAAGCCCCGGGCUCAACCUGGGAACUGCAUUCGAGACUGCAUUACUCGAGUAUGGGAGAGGGCAGUGGAAUUUCCGGUGUAGCGGUGAAAUGCGUAGAUAUCGGAAGGAACAUCAGUGGCGAAAGCGACUGCCUGGCCCAAUACUGACACUCAAGUUCGAAAGCGUGGGGAGCAAACAGG